rnacentral:misc_RNA from 1 species
GUAAGUCUACAAUACAUUAUAUCAUGAAAAAGUCAAAGAACGAGGGAACACUUGUAAACAAAACUCGAUCAGGUCGACCAAAGAAAUUGACUGAAAGGAAGGAGAAAGUUAUCAUUCGCGAAUGAAAAAAAAAUCCUACUACAUCCGCUCCUCGACUCGCAAUGGUAUGGUAGCUGAUAUGUUUCAUAAAGAAGUUCGCUCGGAAUUAUGUCGACGAAUCUUACGAAACAAUAACUUUCAUGGCAGAGUAACGCGAAAGAAGCCAGAUAUUAAUGCGGAUUAUUGGAAGAUUUCCACUUCCAACAUUAUAAUGAUCCUAAGCAUACUGCUAGAAUUGUGAAAAAAUGGAUCGUACAUAACAUACCACACAUGUUAAUUAUUCCAUCGCAAAGUCCAGACAUAAAUUCGAUUGAAAAUUUAUGGGCUGAAAUCGGAAAAAGAUUAAAUAAAUUUCAGAUAACCUGAAAGCAAAUAUUGAAAGAUAAAAUUAUAGAAAUAUGGAACUCCGUUGAGUGUAGUUUUACAAAAUCAUUGGUUUACAGUAUGGGACGUCGAUUGAGACACAUUAUUGCUACUAAAGGUGGCCCAACAAAAUAUUAAUAUUAAAUAAUUUAAUAAUAUAUAUAGCGUUCAAAUACUUUUGUGUGUCACUUACAAUGCGUGUUUCUAAUAAAUGUAUCAUAACUCCUACCUACGUUGUCG